CAACCUAUGGGAAGCAGAGUGAAAUCUGUUACAACAGCUCGUCCAGAGUAAGGAGACCAUGACUGUAGUUCUUUGAAGCUCUACAGCACUCUAAGACAGCAAUCAGCAUUGCUGCAAUUACAGGGUUGACGUUAGGAAAUGGACCUCAAGAGCCACUACAAACCUGCUGUCUGCAGCCAUUACAAUAAAACUUUCCCACCUCCACACAUAGUGGGCAUUUGGAAAGGAAGCUACUGUUAAUGGUGAGGAGGGGAACUGUGCCAGACCGAGCUCCAAAGACCUCUCAGCUGAAACAGCAGCGGUGCUCCCUGCACACAAUGCAAUGUAAGGAGCAGCUGUUCCAAUUUACCUUGUGCCCGUGUGGUCCAGAGCCUCCAGCAUGCAGGGGUGGUGCAAAGAGGAGGCACAGAAAAGUGUAUGGUCUCCACAAGGGAUCAACCAGGGCAAAAACUGAAAAAAUGAAGGAACGCCAUCCUCACCUGCGCAUCUGCCUCCUCAUACGGGUCAACAAAAACAGUUGUUGCCUCGAUUCGUAUUUCCUCCUGCAAACAGAAGAGGAGAACAUUGACUCUCUGGUUAAACUGCACCAUCUGGCCCAGGGAAGCAGCAGCAGCAGCAGGGUGACCACGCCAUGCAGCUCUCUAUCCCCACACAGCUCCCGUCACUUCCCACUUACCUUGGGACGGUCCGUCUUGGGGUCACUUUCCACGUUCUCCAUAGCAGUCAGAGUCUCAAAGCCGCCGACCACUCUAAGAGAGAAAGACAACUUCCAGCUGUCACAGCAUCACCGAGACAUCCAACACUCCCACAUCCAACAUCGUCUCUGCCCACCCACUCCCCCAGACUUUUACACCGCUGUGUUCAGGGGAAGGGAUCAGCAACUGCAUUUGGAAAACUUGAGAUAAUGUCACGCAAGAUGGAAGUGAUGAACCUGGGGGGGCUUUGGGAAGGCAGCAGAGCAUCGCAUCGUGGACACCCCUCAUCAUGGGCUGUAUUGAAGAGGAUCCCCGGCUGCUCAUUUUUCAAUACAACGUAUCCAAAUAUUUGCUUUGAAACAUUAAAAGGAGCCUGAAGACUUGUG